rnacentral:lncRNA from 1 species
CUUUGGAUUGCUUCUUCUUUCUUUUGGUAUUCCAUGAAACUGUUGUUAUAUCUGAGAUUUGGUGUUUUCUCUCAUUUGGAAGGGCUUUCCUCAUCUAGACAGACCUAGUAGGACUUAGUAGGACCAGACAAGGGUCCAUGGAAAGGGAGACACUAAGCUCAUAAAAGCUUGUUUCCAUUAUUGGCAGAUGAGAUCUUAGUGACAUCUUGGUACACAGCAGGUCACAAAGGUAAGGGACAAUAUAUGGACGUAGGGCAAAUGUGUCUGCUACUAACAGCAUGUCUUUUUGCCUGGAGUGUCUCACUUAGGAUCAUGAGCUGGCAGUAGGUGGCUGAUGAAGAAUUUCAGAUUUCUGGCAGUACUAAUGCUUCGUUUCUCUAUUCGAAAAUGAGGGAAAAUAUCCAUUUUUCAGAAAGCCUGAGGUGUUGUGGACACAAGAGACCCAGAUGCUCCACUGCAAUAGUACCAGGUCCAUGGCACUCGUUUCUAAGAGGAGUUUGAAAGUUAGAUGUAACAGACUGUAUAAGGAAACUUUGUCCCCUUUGCCUGUAAUCCCUGCGAGAUGAUGUAUGACCAUCCUGAGCACAUGCAGUAUGUAGAAUACUGGAUCCUGACCUGAAUAUCAUCUCCUGGACUACAGUGAGUCCACUUUUGUCUGAUCUAUAUGAAAGACUACUUUCAGUUUUCAAGAGUAUUUUUAAUGUGCC